CAUCACGUGACCCCCCCCCCCAGGACCCGGCGCCCGGUGGCUGCGGACCCGUUGCGGGCGGAGCGGGAAGGGGUGGGCGGGGAGGUCGGGCAGCGAAUCUCCCGGAGGCGCGCGCGGCCCCGCAGACGGAGGGCGCCCGGGACCCCUGAGCCCAGGAGCGGAUGGCGGGUCUGUCUUCCCCGCGGGACACCCGGGAGCCCGCUCCCGUCGGGAAAAAUCCACGGAGGCGCCCAGUUUCUCCCAGGCCGUUGCCCAGCGUGGCCUUUCGGGCGGACCCUGGCCGUGGGGCCCGCCGUCAGCCGAAGUCACUGCGCGUCGGAAGCCUCGGUCCUCACCGCCCCUGCUCCCCGGGCUGAGCGGACAGGUACGAGUUCUACUGGAGCCGCCACGCCAGGUGGGAGAAGAGUGGGAAGCCCCUGACGACACCUUUUGGAAAACGUCACCGAAAUGAUGAACGCAGACAUCCUUGAAUGAAAUGAUCCUUCGUAAAUACUCUUGCACAUGGACAAUGAUGUGUGUGCAGGACUGGUUCAGUAAAGUACAUAUAUCCGUACAAUACCAUGAGGUUGUGGACACUACGUAUAGUUGGCUACUACUUGUAUAAAAAGAUUGGGAGAAUAUAUUCAUAUCUAUUCGUAUAUGUAUAAAAUGCCCUUGGAAAGAUACAAAAUAAAGUGGUAAUUUUAGUUUCUUUGGAGAGAGGAACUGGUUGCUUGGGAGACUGGACGGGAGGGAGAUUUCCCCCUCUGACUUUUUGUGCUUUUUGAACUUUUCAGUGCAUUAAAAAUAUGUACAAUUUUAAAAGUAAAAAUAACGCUUGUUUUCUGAAUGUGAAUGCUAAAUAAAAAAAAUUUCCAA